AGAGGACUGAAGAUAACCGCUGCAAACAGUUGCAGAGGAAAGUCCGGACUCCUUCGGAAAUGAUGCCGGUUAACGACCGGGCGGCAAGGGCAAAAGUUCUUGCCGACAGCCAGCGCAACAGAAAGUAUACCGCCUUAGGGUAAGGGUGAAACGGCGGGGUAAGAGCCCACCUCAUUCCGGUAACGAGAAUGGAACGGCAAGCCUCAUCAGGAGCAAAAUCAAGUAUGCAAAGGAUGUUCCGAUCCGAUAAUUUGCGGGUUGAUUGCAUAAAUUUAUAUAGUGAUGUAUAAAUAAGACAGAUGGUUAUCUUAAACAGAAUCCGGCUUAUUCGGUCCUCUGUUU
rfam:Treponema phagedenis F0421 genomic scaffold Scfld1086, whole genome shotgun sequence.